rnacentral:lncRNA from 1 species
CUAAAACUCGAAAUGAGAGAAAUAGAGAAAUUUAGAACUAUCCCAAUAAAUUAAGAAUAUCUUGUGUAAAAUAUGACAAAUCCUUUCAUUAAGGGUAUUAUAGACAUUUUAUCAAAAAUAAAUAGUAGCAGAUCAUUUAUAAAAAUCUCCCUAAUACCACUGCUUUGUCUGAACCCCAUUUCUUAGAGGCUUGUUUCCUCGUAAGAAACGACUGGGUGAAAAACGAAGACAUCUACAUGAACAGAGGGGAAAAGCAAUCUCCAGUGUAAAACAAAAAAUGAAGAUUGAUGAAGCCAAAAAGGAGAAGAGGAACCUCUCUGUAUCCAUGAAAAAUAUACUUAUUAUUAUUAUUCUUCUUCUUCUUCAUCGCUUUUGGUCUGCUCCGAUUGCUUUGUCUUCUUCAUCUUCUUCCUCUGCUUCAUCUGCUUCUUCUUUUUCCUCUGCUUCAUCGGCUUCAUCUUCUUCCUCUGCUUCCUCUUCGUCUGCUUCAACUCCUCCCCCAGCUCCACUGCCAGAUCCCCCUCCACCGCCACCGUCACCUCCUCCCCCUUCUUCGUCUUGGUGGAAUCACAGGAUCAAGCAGUUUCUCUCUAGUGGGAUAGACCGGAUCGACCCGAUUAUUAAAGUUUUCCAACUCAUAAAGGAUGUUUUGGUAUAUUUUCGUGAUCUACCCGGCUGAGAAUGUUUGUCUAAGCUUAAAGCUUGUUUGCUGGCGCCAGCGUGGAAAAGAUUUAGAGAAGGUUUUUGAUUAAUGGAAUUUCCCUAAUUUUGAGCUAAAAUGAUCUACCUAAGUUGAAUGGGAUUCCCUUUUGAGCUUUCAUCGUUUAGCUUCCAUUUUGCUUUUUUCCAAAGACGAGACUGUAUUUUAUUUGACAUUGUUGAAUGUUUAUUGAGUUCUAUUUGUAGUUUAUGUAAAAAUUGAACCUUGUUCUUGUUCUUCAAGACCGCUUCUAUAGUAAAUUUUUAGGAUAAGACUGAGAAUACACUUUUCGGUGCACAGUGUCUCACACCUUCUCACAAGGGAGCUCACACAUACAUUUGAAUGAAACUUUCCUAUCAAAAAUGGAA